UUUCCCUAGGUGAACCUGCGGAAGGAUCAUUAAUGAGUUGUCAUGGGGUUCGAUGCUGGCAGCCAGUUUUUGGAUGCAUGUGCUUGCCCUAACAAUCAUCUUCUUCCAAACACCUGUGCACAUUUUUGAGGGAGUCUUGAGUUGGUUGCCGCUCUUGGGUGAUUUUCUCACAUUCCCUUAAAUCAUUAUACGCUAUUAACAAUGUUGAACGUGCUCUGUGCCGCAAGGCCAUUAAUAUAAUACAACUUUUAACAACGGAUCUCUUGGCUCUC
rnacentral:misc_RNA from 1 species